rnacentral:rRNA from 2 species
GCUUGCUUCUAUGACGUUAGCGGCGGACGGGUGAGUAACACGCUGGGCAACCUGCCUGUAAGACUGGGAUAACUUCGGGAAACCGAAGCUAAUACCGGAUAGGAUCUUCUCCUUCAUGGGAGAUGAUUGAAAGAUGGUUUCGGCUAUCACUUACAGAUGGGCCCGCGGUGCAUUAGCUAGUUGGUGAGGUAACGGCUCACCAAGGCAACGAUGCAUAGCCGACCUGAGAGGGUGAUCGGCCACACUGGGACUGAGACACGGCCCAGACUCCUACGGGAGGCAGCAGUAGGGAAUCUUCCGCAAUGGACGAAAGUCUGACGGAGCAACGCCGCGUGAGUGAUGAAGGCUUUCGGGUCGUAAAACAUCUAGUUUGUUAGGGAAGAACAAGUACGAGAGUAACUGCUCGUACCUUGACGGUACCUAACCAGAAAGCCACGGCUAACUACGUGCCAGCAGCCGCGGUUAAUACGUAGGUGGCAAGCGUUAUCCGGAAUUAUUGGGCGUAAAGCGCGCGCAGGCGGUUUCUUAAGUCUGAUGUGAAAGCCCACGGCUCAACCGUGGAGGGUCAUUGGAAACUGGGGAACUUGAGUGCAGAAGAGAAAAGCGGAAUUCCACGUGUAGCGGUGAAAUGCGUAGAGAUGUGGAGGAACACCAGUGGCGAAAGCGGCUUUUUGUUCUGUAACUGACGCUGAGGCGCGAAAAGCGUGGGGAGCAAACAGGAUUAGAUACCCUGGUAGUCCACGCCGUAAACGAUGAGUGCUAAGUGUUAGAGGGUUUCCGCCCUUUAGUGCUGCAGCUAACGCAUUAAGCACUCCGCCUGGGGAGUACGGUCGCAAGACUGAAACUCAAAGGAAUUGACGGGGGCCCGCACAAGCGGUGCAGCAUGUGGUUUAAUUCUAAGCAACGCGAAGAACCUUACGAGGUCUUGACAUCCUCUGACAACUCUAUAGAUAGAGGGUUCCCCUUCCGGGGACAGAAUGACAUGUGGUGCAUGCUUGUCGUCUACUCGUGUCAUGAGAUGUUGGGUUAAGUCCCGCAACGAGCGCGACCCUUGAUCUUAGUUGUCAAAAUUUAGUUGGGCACUCUAAUGUGACUGCCCGGUGACAAACCAGAAGAAAAGUGGGGAUGACCUCCAAUCGUCGUGCCCCUUAUUACCUGGGCUACUCACGUGCUAAAUGGAUUGCCCAAUUGGCUUCAGACCCCAGGU